rnacentral:rRNA from 1 species
UAGCCUUGACAUACUACAGAAUUUGACAGAGAUGUUGAAGUGCCUUCGGGAGCUGUAAUACAGGUGCUGCACGGCUGUCGUCAGCUCGUGUCGUGAGAUGUUGGGUUAAGUCCCGCAACGAGCGCAACCCUCGUCCUUAGUUACUAACGGUUCGGCCGAGGACUCUAAGGAGACUGCCUUCGUAAGGAGGAGGAAGGUGAGGACGACGUCAAGUCAUCAUGGCCCUUACGGCUAGGGCAACACACGUGCUACAAUGGUUAGGACAAUAAGAAGCGAUACCGCGAGGUGGAGCAAAUCUAUAAACCUAAUCUCAGUUCGGAUAGCAGUCUGCAACUCGACUGCUUGAAGCUGGAAUCACUAGUAAUCGUAAAUCAGCUAUGUUACGGUGAAUACGUUCCCGGGUCU